AUUUAUAUAGUUUAGGAAAACAUUACAUUUUCACUGUAAAGACAAAGGGUGCCUUUUAUAAAUA
rnacentral:tRNA from 1 species